rnacentral:rRNA from 1 species
AUACAUAGGGGGCAAGCGUUAUCCGGAAUUAUUGGGCGUAAAGCGUGCGUAGGCGGUUUAUUAAGUCUGAUGUUAAAUCCCACAGCUCAACUGUGGGCUGCCAUUGGAAACUGGUAGACUUGAGUGCGGUAGAGGUAAGUGGAAUUCCAAGUGGAGCGGUGGAAUGCGUAGAUAUUUGGAGGAACACCAGUGGCGAAGGCGGCUUACGGGGCCGUUACUGACGCGGAGGCACGAAAGCGUGGGGAGCAAACAGGUUUAGAUACCCUGGUAGUCCGUACAGUAAACGAUGUGCACCAGGUGGCGGGGGGUCGACCCCCGGUACCGUAGCUAACGCAUUAAGUGCACCGCCUGGGGAGUAUGCUCGCAAGGGUGAAACUUAAAGGAAUUGACGGGG